rnacentral:rRNA from 1 species
UGAGUUUGAUUCUGGCUCAGGAUGAACGCUAGCGGCAGGCUUCAUACAUGCAAGUCGAGGGGCAGCAUAAAUUACUUGUAAUUUGAUGGCGACCGGCGAACGGGUGCGUAACGCGUAUGCAACUUACCUUUUACUAGAGAAUAGCCAAGAGAAAUUUUGAUUAAUGCUCUAUGUUCUUAUUUACUCGCAUGAGUAAAUAAGCAAAGCUCCGGCGGUAAAAGAUGGGCAUGCGUCCUAUUAGCUUGUAGGUGAGGUAAUGGCUCACCUAAGCUCCGAUAGGUAGGGGUCCUGAGAGGGAGAUCCCCCGCACUGGUACUGAGACACGGACCAGACUUCUACGGAAGGCAGCAGUAAGGAAUAUUGGACAAUGGAGGCAACUCUGAUCCAGCCAUGCCGCGUGAAGGAAGACNGCCUUAUGGGUUGUAAACUUCUUUUAUACAGGAAGAAACCUUUCCACGUGUGGAAAGCUGACGGUACUGUAAGAAUAAGGAUCGGCUAACUCCGUGCCAGCAGCCGCGGUAAUACGGAGGAUCCAAGCGUUAUCCGGAAUUAUUGGGUUUAAAGGGU